rfam:Dipodomys ordii contig_30130, whole genome shotgun sequence.
GGUGGCUCAGUGGUAGAGUGCUUGCCUUGCAUGCAUAAAGCCCUGGGUUCAAUUCCUCAGCACCA